rnacentral:rRNA from 1 species
AAUUAUAAAAACAAUUAUUAUAUUAAUAUUAAUUAAUUUAUAAUUUUUAGAUGAAAUUUAAAUUUAUAAAAAAUUAAUUUUAUUUAUAAUAUUUUUUUAAAAAUAUUUUUUAAACUAGGAUUAGAUACCCUAUUAUUUUAAAUUAAAUAAAAUAUUUAAAUAUUAAAUAUUAAAUUAUUAAAUUUAAAAAAAUUGACGGUAUUAUAAAUUUUAGAUGAAUUUAUUUAUAAAUUGAUAAUCCACAAUAAUAAAUACUUUAAAAUUAUAUUUAUAUAUUGUUGUUUAAAUAAUAAAUUUAAAAAUUAAUUUAAAAUAUAAUUUAAAUAAAAAAAUUCAAAUCAUAAUAUAGUUUAUUAAAGGUUAAAUGAAUUACUAUAAUAUAAUAUAAUGAAAAAUAAUUAAAAAAAUUAUUUUAAUAGAAUUUAAUUUUAAAUUUAAAUAAAUAUUAUUUUAAUUGAAAAUUUUAAUUAAUAUGUACAUAUAGCCCGUCAUUUUCAUAAAAUUGAAACAAGUCGUAACAAAGUAAAUAUAUUGGAAUAUGUAUUUAGAAU